GGGUUGGCUCAGGUGGUUAGAGCGUAGGUCUUGUAACCUAAAGGUUGCGGGAUCUAAUCCCGCUAGAGGCUG
rnacentral:tRNA from 1 species